rnacentral:piRNA from 1 species
UGAGUUGGUGAUCCCAAACUUUGGCCUCCAU